rnacentral:misc_RNA from 1 species
GAUGAAGAACGUAGCGAAAUGCGAUAAGUAAUGUGAAUUGCAGAAUUCAGUGAAUCAUCGAAUCUUUGAACGCACAUUGCGCCCAUUAGUAUUCUAGUGGGCAUGCCUGUUCGAGCGUCAUUUCAACCCUCAAGCUCUCUUGCUUGGUGUUGGGGCUUCUGCGGCUUCGGCCGCAGGCCCUGAAAAACAGUGGCGGGCUCGCUAUAACUCCGAGCGUAGUAAUCUCUCUCGCUUUGGAAGUGUGGCGGUUCCCGGCCGUUAAACCCCCAAAUUUCUGAAUGUUGACCUCGGAUCAGGUAGGAAUACCCGCUGAACUUAAGCAUAUCAAUAAGCGGAGGA